rnacentral:rRNA from 2 species
UUUCGAAUCAUUCACAAUGGGCGAAAGCCUGAUGGUGCGACGCCGCGUGGGGGACGAAGGUCUUCGGAUUGUAAACCCCUGUCACCGGGGACAAAACGUCGUCUGUUAAUAGCAGACGGCCUGAUUUAACCCGGAGAGGAAGCAGUGGCUAACUCUGUGCCAGCAGCCGCGGUAAUACAGAGACUGCAAGCGUUGUUCGGAUUCACUGGGCGUAAAGGGUGCGCAGGCGGCCGGGUGUGUCGGGUGUGAAAGCUCGAGGCUUAACCUCGAAAUUGCGCCCGAAACUAUUCGGCUAGAGUACUGGAGAGGGAGGCGGAAUUCACGGUGUAGCAGUGAAAUGCGUAGAUAUCGUGAGGAACACCAAUGGCGAAGGCAGCCUCCUGGACAGUUACUGACGCUCAGGCACGAAAGCGUGGGGAGCAAAAGGG